CGAUAACAAACGAGACCUCGGCCUGCUAAAUAGUUGAGCGAAUCCUCCGGGAUUCGAUCUCACACUUCCUAGAGGGACUAUCGGUGAUUUAGCCGAUGGAAGUUCGAGGCAAUAACAGGUCUGUGAUGCCCUUAGAUGUCCUGGGCCGCACGCGCGCUACACUGAUACGUUCAUCGAGCUUACAACCUUGGUUGAGAGGCCUGGGUAAUCUUUUGAAACCGUAUCGUGCUGGGGAUAGAUUAUUGUAAUUUUUAAUCUUCAACGAGGAAUUCCUAGUAAACGCUGGUCAUCAACCAGCAUUGAUUACGUCCCUGCCCUUUGUACACACCGCCCGUCGCUACUACCGAUUGAAUGGCU
rnacentral:rRNA from 1 species